AUUGAACGCUGGCGGCAGGCCUAACACAUGCAAGUCGAACGAGUGGCGGACGGGUGAGUACUGUCUGGGAAACUGCCCGAUGGAGGGGGAUAACUACUGGAAACGGUAGCUAAUACCGCAUACAAUCGGAUGUGCCCAGAUGGGAUUAGCUAGUAGGUGGGGUAACGGCUCACCUAGGCGACGCUCCCUAGCUGGUCUGAGAGGAUGACCACACACACGGGAACGGAGACACGGUCCAGACUCCUACGGGAGGGAGCAGUGGGGAAUAUUGCACAAUGGGGGGAAGACUGAUGCAGCCAUGCAGCGUGUAUGAAGAAGGCCGUCGGGUUGUAAAGUACGUGCAGCGAGGAGGCGUUACUCGCAGAAGAAGCACCGGCUAACUACGUGCCAGCAGCCGCGGUAAUAC
rnacentral:rRNA from 1 species